rnacentral:rRNA from 1 species
AUUCCCGGUUGAUCCCGCCGGGACCUGGCUGCUAUCGGAUUGAUACUAAGCAUGCGAGUCUUUGUAGUAAUACAAGGCAGACGGCUCAGUAACACGUAGUCAACCUACCCUAUAGACGGGGAUAACCUCGGGAAACUGAGAAUAUUACCCGAUAGGUCAUUAUGCCUGGAAUGGUUUAUGACUUAAAUGAUUUUUCGCUGUAGGAUGGGACUGCGGUCUAUCAGCUUGUUGGUGAGGUAAUGGCCCACCAAGGCUAUAACAGAUACGGGCUCUGAGAGGAGAAGCCCGGAGAUGGGUACUGAGACACGGACCCAGGCCCUGUGGGGCGCAGCAGGCGAGAAACCUUUGCAAUGUGCGCAAGCACGACAAGGUUAAUCCGAGUGUUUCCUGCUAAAGGAAUCUUUUGUUAGUUGUAAAACCACUGACGAAUAAGGGGUGGGCAAGUUCUGGUGUCAGCCGCCGCGGUAAAACCAGCACCUCAAGUGGUCAGGAGGAUUAUUGGGCCUAAAGCAUCCGUAGCCCGUUCUAUAAGUUUCCGGUUAAAUCCAUUAGCUCAACUAAUGGGCUGCCGAAAAUACUGUAGAACUAGGGAGUGGGAGAGGUAGACGGUAUUCGGUAGGAAGGGGUAAAAUCCUUUGAUCUAUUGAGGACCACCUGUGGCGAAGGCGGUCUACCAGAACACGUUCGACGGUGAGGGAUGAAAGCUGGGGGAGCAAACCGGAUUAGAUACCCGGGUAGUCCCAGCUGUAAACGAUGCAGACUCGGUGAUGCCCUGGCUUGUGGCCAGUGCAGUGCCGCAGGGAAGCCGUUAAGUUUGCCGCCUGGGAAGUACGUACGCAAGUAUGAAACUUAAAGGAAUUGGCGGGGGAGCACCACAAGGGGUGAAGCCUGCGGUUCAAUUGGAUUCAACGCCGGG